rnacentral:misc_RNA from 1 species
UUUCCGUCGGUGAACCUGCGGAAGGAUCAUUAUUGUAUAGCCGAGGUGCGAGGGCUGUCGCUGACCCGAAAGGUCGUGCACGCCCGAGUGCCCUCACACACAUCCAUCUCACCCCUAUGUGCACCACCGCGUGGGUCCCCCUUUGGCUUGUUCGGAGGGGGGCUUACGUUUUCACACAAACUUUGUAUGCAGUGUAGAAUGUAUUUUUUGUUUUUGCGAUCACGCAAUCAAUACAACUUUCAACAACGGAUCUCUUGGCUCUC